rnacentral:rRNA from 1 species
AGCAGCCGCGGUAAUUCCAGCUCCAAUAGCGUAUAUUAAAGUUGUUGCAGUUAAAAGCUCGUAGUUGAAUUUCGGGAUUUGUCAGUUGGUCGGGCUUCACUGUCCGUACUGACUUGAUGGAUUCUUACCUUCUGAAUAACCAGCAUGCUAUUAAGUUAGUGCGUUGGGGAAGCAGAUCUAUUACCUUGAAAAAUUAGAGUGCUUAAAGCGGGCUAGUGCUUGAAUAGAUUAGCAUGGAAUAAUAAAAUAGGACGGCAUGGUUCUAUUUUGUUGGUUUCUAGGAUCACCGUAAUGAUUAAUAGGGAUAGUUGGGGGCAUUAGUAUUCAAUUGUCAGAGGUGAAAAUUCUUGGAUUUAUUGAAGACUAACUUCUGCGAAAGCAUUUGCCAAGGAUGUUUUCAUUAAUCAAGAACGAAGUUAGGGGAUCGAAGACGAUCAGAUACCGUCGUAGUCUUAGCCAUAAACUAUGCCGACUAGGAAUCGGACGAUGUUAAUUUAUAAUGACUCGUUCGGCACCUUAC